ensembl:lncRNA
GAGGGGCCAGACCUUCCCCAGGUCUACAGGCAGAGCUGCUCUGUUCAUGGCCUUCUGGUUUGCAUGGCAGAACCCUUGCUCUCUGCACCCUGACCUUAUCCAUCCCUGCCUAUCUGCCUCUGCCUUACCUCCUCUGCUGGGCUGAAUGCUCAUCCCCCACAUUCAUGUCCGCUCUGAACCUCAGCAUGUGACCUUGUUUGGAAAUAGGGUCUUUGCUGAUGGGUUGGGGUGGGACCUAUAUCCAAUGACCGAUGUCCUUGUGAGAGAAGAGGACACCCAGGGAGAAGCCCGUGUGAUGACAGAGGCAGAGGCUGGAGUGACACAACAAAGAGCCAGGAAUGCCAAGGACUGUGGGAAGCCACCAGGAGCCGGAAGAGGAGAGGCAGGAGUCUUCCCCGAGCCCUUGGAGGGGAUGUGGCCCUGCUGACACCUUGAUUUCAGACUUCUAACCUCCAGCACUGUGAGGGGGGCGAAUUCCUCUCGUCUUCUCCCAGCAGGUCUGUGGUAGUUUGUUACAGCCGCCCCUUCCCCGGCCCUCCCCUCUCCCCGCCUCUCCCACACCUGGUGCGGGGCUGGUGUAGGAAAAAAUGUCACCAACAGGUCCUUCUCACAAUUCACCGGGCCAGCCUCAGAAAGAAUGUUCUUAAAGGCCAUCCUUUCCAGGAAGACUAUGUCCACCCUUGCCCAGGGCACCCUGGGAGGCAGGCUGAAGAAGGAGUAGGGGGCUCUGCUCUGGGACCCGGGCCGCCCGCCCCAGCCGCCCCCACUCUGGCCAGCGCGCCUCGGGGAACGUAUGUCAGCCAGACCCCUUGGGCUGCAACCACACGUGGUCUGUGGCUCAGCGUUCCAGCGGGAAGCCAGGCUGUGUUUGUCACAAUUGUUAGUGUUUGGUUACUUUUGACCAAGGUCGUGGAGAUGGCAAGAGGGGUGGGGGGUGGAGAGAAAAGGAGAGCGCUGUACAGAGUCUUUUGUGCACAAAGGCAGCAUGGAAUGGCCUGACCUUCCCCAGUUUCCAAAUACAGAUGACCAAGAAGUAAACUGAGCAAGAGGGCAGGUCUCUUUAGAAAUCAGAUUGUUUGAACUCAACGACAAAGAGCUGCUAUUUAUUCUGAACUCUAUGAAAUGACUUAUCACCAGGUAAAGCAUUGGGUCUAUAUGCCAUUUGAAUGCCAAAAGCCAUUUGUUCUUUCAUCCAUCCAUCCACCUACCCAUCCAUCCAUCCAUCCACCUGUCCAUCUAUCAUUUGCUAAGUUCCCAAUAUAAUUCCCGUAAUAACUUUAAUAACAGCAAUAAUAACAGUUCCCAUUCAAUGGGCAUUUUCUAAGAGACAGGCUGUGUGCUAAACACUUUGCAUGCAUAAUCUAAUUCUCACAAACAAUUCUAUAAAAUAGAUGCCAGAGGGGAGGCGGAGAGUGAGGCACAAAGAGGUUAGGUCACUUGCCUAAGACUUUACAGCCUACUGUGGUAGAUUGUAUAUGUCCAGAAAUUCCCUAUUGCUCUUCCCAACAAGAGUUGAUUCUACUUCUCCACUGCCUCCUGACUUGCUUCAACUAAGAGAACAUGCCAGGAGUGUUGUUCAAGCCCCAAGCCCAGGCCUCGAGAAGCCUGACAGCUACUGUCUUUGCUGACCUGAAGCCUCUGGGUCUCCCCACUGGAAGAUGAGAGAGGCCAACUGUGGCCACCCAGCCAACAGCCCGCACCAGCUGCCACACCUGCGAGGGAAGCCAUGGACCUUCCAGUCUGGCUAACCCUCCAGCCAAGGGAACCCAAUCAAAACCAAAAGAGGGGGGAGGUCCCAUCAUGACUCAGCAGAAACGAAUCUGACUAGCAUCCAGGAGGACGCAGGUUCAAUCCUUGGCCUCGCUCAGUGGGUUAAGGCUCUGGUGUUGCCAUGAGCUGUGGUGUAGGUUGCAGAACACAGCUUGGAUCUGGCGUGGCUAUGGCUGUGGCUGUGGCUGGCAGCUAUAACUCCGAUUCAACCCCUAGCCUGGGAACUUCCAUAUGACGCAGGUGCAGCCCUAAAGAGACCAAAAAAAAAAAAAAAAAAAA